GGGUGGCCUAGUUGGUAGGGCGUCGGCUUGAUUCCUCGCAUAGCCUGAGUUCGAAUCCUGGCAUG
rnacentral:tRNA from 13 species